UGGAGAUUUAACAUCAGAACAUCGCCUGACAUUAAAGCUAUGAAGAAAUAAGACUUGGACAUUCUAGAACUUCGGGAGGACAUCUCCCUCUUUCCAGAAGAAAAGGCUCAGGGAUGCUUUUCAUUAUGUCCACCAUCAAAAGUUCACCAGCUCCAGACAGCUCCUGAGCUCAAAUAAAUCUCUUGAAUUCCACA